rnacentral:rRNA from 1 species
CAGUAGCCGCGGGAAUACGAAGGGUGCAAGCGUUAAUCGGAAUUACUGGGCGUAAAGCGCGCGUAGGCGGUGAGUUAAGUCUGCUGUGAAAUCCCCGGGCUCAACCUGGGAAUGGCGAUGGAGACUGCAAGGCUAGAAUCUGGCAGAGGGGGGUAGAAUUCCACGUGUAGCAGUGAAAUGCGUAGAUAUGUGGAGGAACACCGAUGGCGAAGGCAAUCCCCUGGACCUGUACUGACGCUCAUGCACGAAAGCGUGGGGAGCAAACAGGAUUAGAUACCCCCGUAGUCCCUGUCUCUUAUAC